UAGGGAAUUUUCGGCAAUGGGGGGAACCCUGACCGAGCAAUGCCGCGUGAGUGAAGAAGGAUUUCGGUUCGUAAAGCUCUGUUGUAAGUAAAAAAUGACCUUCGUAGGAAAUGACGAAGGAGUGAUGGUAGCUUACCAGAAAGUCACGGCUAACUACGUGCCAGCAGCCGCGGUAAUACGUAGGUGGCAAGCGUUAUCCGGAAUGAUUGGGCGUAAAGGGUGCGUAGGUGGCACAAUAAGUUGAAAGUUAAAGUCCGUGGCUUAACCACGGAUUGCUUUCAAAACUGUUGAGCUAGAGUGCAGAAGAGGCAAGUGGAAUUCCAUGUGGAGCGGUAAAAUGCGUAGAUAUAUGGAGGAACACCAGUGGCGAAGGCGGCUUGCUGGUCUGUAACUGACACUGAGGCACGAAAGCGUGGGGAGCAAAUA
rnacentral:rRNA from 1 species